GGUGUGGCUCAGUUGGUAGAGCGGGUGCUUUGGGAGCAUCAGGCCGCAGGUUCAAAUCCUGUCACU
rnacentral:tRNA from 1 species